CCCUCCCUCCCUCCCUCUCUUUCUUUCUUUCUUUCUUUCUUUCUUUCUUUCUUUCUUUCUUUCUUUCUUUAUAACAUUGAAUAUUUGAAAGCAAAAUUCAACCAUUAUAUAAUUUCACCUGCAAUUAGGUUAGAUUGCAUUGUAACAGACAAAUAGUGUUUUUUUUUAAAUAUCUGUAUUACUCCAGACAACAAUAACAGCCAAGUUUCUUAAUAUCAUUUGAUACUCAGGCACAUCUAUUCUUUUCUUUUGUUGAAAAUAUAUUUUUCUCAAUAAAAUAAAAUAUCCUGAUUAUGGUUUUUUUUUCUCCCUCUACAAUUCCCAGUUCCGCCUUACCCCGCUCUCCAAUCCAGAUCCAGUCCCUUUCUGUCUCACUAGAAAACAAACAGGUUCCUAAGGAAUAAUAAUAAAAUAAAAUAUAAUAAGAUAAAAUAAAAACAAACACGCCAGAAUAGGACAAAACAAAUAGCAGGAAAGAGCCCAAGAAAAAGCACAUGAAACAGAUAUAGACACAGAGGACCGCUCGUUUGAAUACUCAGGAAUCCUAUAGAAGCACAACACUGGAUGCUGUGAUAUAUACACUAAGGGCCUGGAGGAUUAAAAACAGGAAAAAAAAGAUUUAAAAAACAAUCCCUUAUACAACACUGUGAGACAAGGAACCUCCAAAGAUGGCUGUGAGGACAUUUCUGAUGGGCAUUUACUCGUAGGCAGGCAGCUACCCUUAAGAGUAGUUUAUGAGACUGACACGCUACCUACUGCGCUAACGAGGCUCCCCCCACCCCACCCCCCUGGACCUCAUAUCUCUAGCUGCACUUGUGUCAGAAGAUGGCCUAGUUGGCCAUCAUUGGAAAGAGAGGCCCAUUGGUCUUUCAAACUUUAUAUGCCUCAGUACAGGGGAACACCAGGGCCAAGAAGUGGGAGUGGGUGGGUAGGGGAGUUGCGGGGAGGGUAUGGGGAACUUUUGGGAUAGCAUUGGAAAUGUAAAUGAAGAAAAUACCUAAUAAAAAAAGUUAAAAAAAAAAGAGUAGUGUAUUUCCUGAUGGGAGCAUGUUGGCAGAAACUAAACUCUUAUCAGUGGAUAUCAGUUAGAGACAGCUCUGGGUUAGGGGUGGGGUCAUGUGUCCACUUCUCCUUUCAGCUCCUGGGCCCCAUCUGAUGCAGACCCGUUCAGGGCCCGUGCAUGCUGCGCUGUCUAUGAGUGAGCACGUACGUGCAUAGAUCCUGUUGAUUUAGAAGACCUGGUGUUCCUCUGUUCCCUCUGGCGCUUAGACUAUUUCUGUCUCCUUCUGAGGGGUUCCCUGAGCCCGGAGGGAAGGGAUUUGAUGGGGGACAUCCCAUAUAGGGCUGAGUGUUCCAACGUCUCUCAGUCUCUGCAUGAUGUCUGGCUGUGGUCUCUGUAUUUGUUCUCAUCUACCACAGGAGGAUGACUGCUGUUGCUGCUGCUGAAGGCAUGGAUCUCUGAGUAUAGAAGAAUGUCAUUAGGAGUUAUUUUAUUGCUACAUUCUUGUAGUAAAACAUGAGUAUUUGGGUCAUGUCGGACCUUCUCUCUCUACCUUCUCGUUAAUUUGGAUAAGGAUUUGUCAUUCUUACUGACUUUCUCCAAGGACCAUCUCUUCGAUUUCUUUGAUUUUCUUUGAUUCUUUGUAUUUUCUGUUUUAUUGAUUUUUCCAAGUUUAAUUAUUUCUUACCAUCUGCUUUUCAGUGUCUUUUGUUUCAGGUGGGUUGUUAAAUUGCUAGUUAUUAUCAGGUGGGUUGUUAAAUUGCUAGUUAUUAUGAGAUUUAUUUAUUUAUUUAUUUAUUUAUUUAUUUAUUUAUUUAUUUAUUUAUUUAUGUAUGUGAGCACACUGUUGCUCUCUUUAGACACACCAGUAGAGGGCAUCAGAUCCCAUCACAGAUGGCUGUGAGCCACCAUGUGGUUGCUGGGAAUUGAACUCAAGACCUCUGGAAGAGCAGUCAGUGCUCUUAGCCAUUGGGCCACUUCUCCAGCCCUCUAAUUUUUUUUUUAAUGUAACUACUUAGUGCUGUGAACUUGCCUUGUCUAACCAACUCUAUUCGGUCCCAUAAGUUUGGGUAUGUUUUGUAUCCAUUUUCAUUCAUUCUAGAAAGUCUUUAAUUUCUUUCUUAAAUUCUGUCAUGAUCCAGUUUUCACCAGUUGUUCAGAUUCCAUGAGUUUGUUAAGCUUUCUGUUCUUCCUGUUAUCCUUGAUAUCUCACUUUGCUCUGUGGUGGUCUGGUGGCAUGCAGGGAGUUAUUUCAAUUGUCUUGUAUCGAUUGAGACUUGCUUUGUGUGUGUGUGUGUGUGUGUGUGUGUGUGUGUGUGUGUGUGUGGUCAAUUUUGUAAAGAGUUCCAUUGGCUGCUGGGAAGAAGGUAUAUUCUUUUGUGUUUGGAUGCAGUGUUCUGUAAAUGUUUUUUGUUUUUCUGUAAAUGUUUGCAAUGUUCAGUAUUUUUUGGCUGAAUGAUUUAUUCAUUGAUGAGAGUAGAUGACCUAUUCAUUGAUGAGAGUUGGGUAUGGUGUCUCCUAUUGUCACUGUGUGAGGGCCAACAUGUGUGUAAGCUGUAGGAGUGUUUCUUUUACAAACUUGGAUGCCCUUGUGGUUGUGGCAUAGGUGUUAAGAAUUGAAAUAUGAGGGGGCUGGAGAGAUGGCUCAGUGGUUAAGAGAAAUGGCUCUUCUUUUUAAGGACCAGGGUUCAAUUCCCAGCACCCACAUGAUAGCUUCCAAGUGUCUGUAACUUAAGUUCUUGUGGAUCUGUCACCCUCACAUAGACAUUGAUGCAGGACAAAGCCCAUUAACAUAUUGCACAUAAUAAUAAAAAUUAAAAUAAAAGAAUUGAAACAUGUCCUUGGUGGAUUUUUUCUUUGACAUGUUCAUAGUGUCCUCUCUCCAUCUCUUGAUUAGUUUUGGUUUGAAGUUUAGUUAUUAAAAAGGCUAUACCAGCUUGCUUCUUAGAUCCAUUUGCUUGGGGUAUUUCUUAUUUAUCUUUUUUUUCCCUAGGUGGUGUCUAUUCUUGAAGUUAAGGUGUGUUUCUUGGAUGUAGCAGAAGGAUGUAUCCUGUUCUCAUAUCCAUUCUUUUAGUCUGUGUCUUUUUAUUGGGGAGUAAGAGCAUUGAUAAUGAGAAUUACUGAUAAGCGCUGUUUGUUGACUCCUGCUAUUAUUAAUUCUCUCUCUCUCUUUCUCUCUCUCUCUCUCUCCUCUGUGUGUCUGUGUGUGUCUAUGUUUCUUCCCCUCUUCUUUUUGUUUUUUUGUUUGUGUGUGUGUUUUGUUUUUCAAGACAGGGUUUCUCUGUAUAGCCCUGGCUGUCCUGGAACUCACUCUGUAGACCAGGCUGGCCUCGAACUCAGAAAUCUGCCUGCCUCUGCCUCCCAAGCGCUGGGAUUAAAGGUGUGCGCCACCACUGCCCGGCUCUUCUCCUCUUCUAAGUCACUGGUUCACAGGUUUGAGAUUUUUCUUGGCUGUAGUUAACUUUUUCAGGUUGAAGUUUUCCUUCUAGGACCUUAUGUACAGCUGGAUUUGUAGAUAUAUAGUGUUUAAACUUUAUUUUACCAUGGAAUGUCCUUCCCCUCCUCCAUUUAUUGUGAUUGAAAGUCUCUCAGGAUAGAGUAAUGUGGGCUGGCGUUUACGGUCUCUGGGAAUUUGUAGAACAUCUGGCUUUUAUAGUCUCACUGAGAAGCCGUGUGUUAUCCUACUAGGUCUCCCUUCAUAUGUUUCUUGGCCUUCUCCCCUUGCAGUUUUAAUAUUCUCUCUUUGUUCUGUACAUUUAGUGUUCUGAUUAUUAUGUGCUGAGGGGAAUUUCUUUUCUGGUCCAGUCUAUUUGGAGUUCUCUAUGCUUCUUGUACCUUAAUAGGAAUCUCCUCCCUUCUUUGGGUUAGAGAAAUUUUCCUUUAUGAUUUUGUUGAAAUUUUUUGUGCCUUUUACUUGGGUUUCUUCUCCUUUCUCUAUUUCUAAUAUUUUGCAGAUCUGGUCUUCUCAUAGUGUUUCAAAUUUCUUACAUGUUUGUGCUAGGAUUUUUUUUUAAAGAUUUAACAUUUUUUUUUGACCAAUGUAUCUUUUUUCCCCUAUAAUGUCUUCAGUGCCUGAUAUUCCCUCUUCCCCGUCUUGUGUUCGAUUGGUGAGGCUUGGCCUGUGACUCCUGUUCCAAUUCCAAAUUUUUCAUUUCCAGAUUUCGUUCUGUUUGGAUUUUCUUUACUGAGUUUAUUUCCCCCUUCAGGUCUGGAGGUAUUUUCUUAAUUUCCUUCAGUUGUUUAUGUUUCUGCAGAUUUCUUUAAGGGGUUUAUUAAUUUCCUCUUUAAGGACCUAUGUCGUCUUCAUAAAGGCUACUUUAGGGGACUUGUUUUGUGCUUCGGCUAGCUCUCACUUCUCAGGGCCUGGUGUAGCAGUGCUGCUGGAUUCUAGUAGACAUAGAUUGUCCUGGCUGUGAAUGAUUGUGAUUCUGUGCUGGCACCUAGCUAGGUAUCUUGGCUUGGGGUAAUUGUAAUUCUAGGUGCUGAUGCCUGGCUUUGUCUGUGUUGGGUGUGUUCUGUUCCUUGGUUUCGGUUGCUGUCUCUGAUCUUAGGAGGGUAUAAUGGAUGUGUGUGGCCUGCUAGGGAAUUCUUCUGGAACCCUGCUAGGUUUGGCUACUUGGGUUUCUGGGUAAAAUGUGUUUCUAGGGGUUGGUAGCUGACACUUAUUAAUGGUGGUGGGCUGGAGGGUCUGAGUGGGUUCAUAGGAGGGAGGAAAGCAGGGUGUUCCAUCAGGAUCAAUGUGUUUCUUGGAAAUGGAGACCGAACCCGAGGAGAGCCUAAGACAUGGAGUCUACUACCAAGCUGGGAAUGAGGCUGAGGGCCUGGAUUUGGAGGAGAGGAGGGAAGAGUCGGGGUCUGACCCCACCUGCUCUGCCGGCCUACCUGCACUGUGGCCUACUUACUUCUCUGGAAGGCUUGGCUGGCUGGGACCCAGGGAAUGCCUGCUGGAGUCUGGGGCUGGGAUAACAGGAUGCACUGGAGUAAGACUGGAGAGUACCUGUGUGCUCUGCUGGAGAUUCGGACAGGGAGGAGGCAGGAACUGCAGCAGGUGAUUGCCUGCUACAGAGCUACGAGUGAGGUUUGGAUGACAGAGGGGGAUGUGAGGAUCUGCCCUGACUGGAUCUCCUUCUCUGUCCAACGUGGCCAGAGGUUCCCGGGAAUGUCCGUAGGAGCUGGGGCUGUAUUUAAAUUUCUAUGAAGAGUUUAGAAUCCUCCCCCACCCUCCACGUAUGUGCAUGCUCGUGCAUGUACAUACACCACACAUACUUUCAUUGAGGCACACCUCUGCUCUCAAACACGUUUUGAUAGUUGAUUUAGCCCAGGACCCUAAGAAAGCAUGCAUGUGAUGUCUGGUUGUUUGCCUUGAGAUCCCUCCGGAUCUGCAAUCUUCCACACCUCCUACUGAGAAUUUCAUUUGUUCCUUGAAGCAAUUGGUUAGAAUUGCCCACGUUUUGAUUUGGUUGGUUACUUCUUCAUUUUGUUCUUUAGUUUGUUACUUUGUGUCCAUGUUUUCUGCUGCAAGAAGAUCCGUUCAGGCUCCAGUGUUCUGAGGGAUGGGGUGGGGCGCUGUGGUUUGGGCUGUAUUCUACUAGCCAGCACUCUUCCACCAGGGUGGAUUCCAGGAUUGCGUGUAUAUAUAUGCAUACAGUGUGCUGUAUGUAGAAGGGAGUGCCUGGUACUCUUUCCUUCCUGCUUGCAUCUGCAGAGGACUGUCAUCCAGGCCCAUAGUUUCCUCGGUGCCUUUUGACUUUCUUACCCCUCUCACUGUCUGAUAGCUGAGUUUGCUAUAAAGAAUUCACCCAUCCGUCAUUUGACAGACAAUGCAGGGCAAAUGCCUCCCCAUUGUUUAUCAGUUUCAAGAGCAAAGGGUUGGCCUCCUGGUAAAGGAGGAAGGAUUUUAUUUAUUGAGUUCUGGCUGUAUGCUGGGCAUUGUUCUAAAUCCCAGCGGCUCAGCAGUCAACAAAAUGACACAGAUCUGCUGCUUCCCUGAAACUUGAGUUCUAGUGGGGGAAGAUGGGAGACAGACAAGUGAGCUUACAGCUGAGCGAGAAGGUGACAAAGGUUAUGAAGAAAAGCAUGGAAAGCAAGUGGUGUAGGGGUUGUCGCAGGGGGAUUCCAGCUGGAAGUUUGGAAUGGGCCAGGGACAAUCCAAGGAGCCAAUGCCUGAAGCAGAAGUGAAACUCCUAGUGCGGAGAUUGGAGUGGGAGCAUGCAUGCCUUGGGGGAUGCUUGGAGUGGUGGUGGGGUCUCAUGGAGGCUCUGCUAGGGGCUAGCCUGGCUGAUACGAGGUGAGCCAAGUUGACAUUAGGAAAGCUGUGGCCGGAGAGGUGGAGAUGGAUGUAAUCAUGUGUGGCUUACACGUCAUUGUAAGGACUUCGAUUUCUUCCCUUAACAAAAUGAAGAGACUCUCAUCUCUAGCCCUCCUUCUCUCUCUCCCUUUCCCAUCUCUCUCCAUGUGGCCAUGGUCGGCCUCUCUCCCUCUUUCUACCUUCUCUUUUUUACCCUGCCUUUCUGCAAUAAAGCUCUAAAACCAUAAAACACACACACACACACACACACACACACACUGGAGAACCACUGGAGGAUUUUAAGUGGAGCGAUGAUUUAAUAUUUUUUUAAAUCUUAUUUUAAUGUAACAUCUUAGUUAAUUACUUGGGAGUUUCAUACAUUCAUACAAUGCAUUUUGAUAAUGUUGAUCACUCAUCCAUCUCCUUAACUCCUCCUGGACCCACCUCUAUUUCCCAGAUCCCCCCCCCCCCACUCCUAACUCCAGUUCUCUUUUUGGUGCUGCCUGUCUGCUAAUGGGUAUGUGGCCACCCACUGGGGUGUGGUCACCCUAUCAUCACCACUGGCCACACCCAUAAAGAACUGACUUUGUCUCUCCCAGUAGCCAUUGGUUGUCAAUAGCUUCUCAGGUGGGAGCUCAGAGACUGGUAUGGAAAAAGGGACGGAAAGGGUAUAAGAUCCGGAGAACAGGACUGAAAUAUUUGCUUCUGGACACAAUGACAGGUGCACUGGUGAACUUACACCAGCUCAGCCAUGAUUGCCUGAAUGAGACUUGUGCAAGACUUAUCAAGUUUUUAAAGGAUUCUUCCAGCUGCUUGAGGAAGGGGGUAUAGGCGGGUGAGGGCAGAAAUGAGUCGAGUUUCCAUCCUUGUCUUGGAGUACCUGGCAAGGGGAUUGGAGGUGAUUGACUUGCGUGUGAGGUGCCCAGAAGCUGGGCCCGUUUCCCUCUUUGACUCCAUCCAUAAAGAUCCUAGACAUUAUGUUCUGGGCACUGCUGAGCAUGGCUGGACACAAAAUCCCAGGAUGGAAUCCCUCUCGCUCGGGAGAGUGGUGAGUGGGUGAGGGUGAUGCUUCUACCGCUUGUCCCUACUCCUUUAUGUAUUUACGUGUUUAUGCAACUCCUAACUCGUUCAGUCCAGAGUGAGCUUCUCGUGAUCUCAGGGUUAAGUGGUGUUUGUCACAGGCUGAAUCGUUUAUCCACACCAGGUCGUGAUUAAACCAGGUAAGCGUACCUUACCUGUCAUGUCCCGGAUGUCGUAAGGCACAGAUAAGCUGUAUGCUUUCUCCUUGACAUCUGAGCUCAUAGAACACCUUUUCGUUUUAGCAGCCGUCUCAGCAUCCAGAGAGCCUUUUCACUGGUGACGAUUUAGCUUUGCUUGGAACUCCUGCCCUGUUACAGUCUACUUACAAUUUUCUGAAGUUUAGCAGCCAGCAGGGCCUGCUACAAGCCUCGUUCUCCUGUCAAUGAAUCGUCCUCUCUUGUUUUCAUCUCCUUUCUGGGUUUGCGUAUGGAACCAAUGCAACCAGAGACACACUCAUUCUUAAGAGAAGAGAGAUUUCUAAAAGGAAAGCAUUAAACCAAAUCUAAUUCAAGGAUAGUUUGCCUCAAAGAAAUAUUGUAAGCUUUCCUUCCUGUCUUUCCCUGUCAUUAUUUCUGGUCCUUCCUGGCAUUCUUCUAGAUACUUCCUCUGAGUUCUUCAUGAAACUGAGGCACACAUGAGAGGCAUGGAGGUCAAGGGAUGACUGGAGUGUCUCCUUGAGCUGCAGGUUCUGAGGACACAAAGCAAAGAUGUAACCAGGAAAACAGAUUCUCCCAUUCAUAAAUACUGUCUUAGGCUAGGAUUCCCAGUCACUCGUUAAAGAAAAGUUGCUUGCUACAUGAACUGGCAAGAAUUUCAGUUGGACCGCAAUUUUGGUGGUCAGCUGCAAGAGCCAGUUGCUUUUGAGAAGAGAAGGGAAUUAGAAACUCUCUGGACAUAGGCUGGCAACUGUUCUUCUUAAAUAGACCUAUAGACCGUAUAAACCCUUACAUAUGGUGUAAACUCAGCCCAGAGUCAGUGCUAAGGACAGGGCCAUGCUCUUCUGACCACCUAGGGAUGCACAGAUGGCUGGAGAGCAGUAGUUUUCACCUUUCCAAUACUGUGCCCCUUUAAUAUACCUCCUCAUGUUGAGGUGUACCCCCUCAAUCAUACUAUAUUUUGUUGCUACUUCAUAACUGUAAUUUUGCUACUGUUAUAAAUCAUAAUGUAAAUAUGUGAUAUGCAGGAUAUCUGAUAAUCAACCCCACAUGGGAUCUUGACCCACACACAGGUUGAGAACCGCUCCUCUAAAAGAUGACUUGGCAUGUAAGCAUAUGUCUUGUAGAACAAGAAGCCUGGAGUUUCAAAGGUCAACACUAAGAUCUGGCUUCUAGUCCCCUCUAGGGUUGGCUAAUAAGAGCCUAUUCACAUCUCUGCCCCUGGAAAAUGCCUUCUUUGAUGAUCCCUGAGUAUAUUGUAUAGAUUUCUUCAGGGCACAGGUCUCAGCAAGAUUGAUGCCUGUGAGGAACUCAGAAGCAGGGUCUUAGCAGAAGUCCUAGCAGUGAGGUCUAUAGGGCCUGAGAAGAAAAUGAGAAACCAGUGGUCUUGGGGAUCUUUGCUGUAGAAAGAACAGCCUAACAUAAACAGUCUGCAAUAUGGGGGGAGGGGCAUGACUUUACAGUGGUGUGAACAUGAUACACCCUAACUUUGACCCUGACUGACCCUGAUUGACCCUGUCCUUGACUCUUGCUUCUACCUUUAGUGCCCAGGCUGACCUCACGCUCCUUAGCUUAGCUCCCAAGUAGCUGUGGCUACAGGCAUGCACCACAGUGCCCCAUGACACACAGACAGAGGUUUAAGCAUCUUUGAGGUUAUCAAGCCUACUGCCUUAUGAAGUACUUGGUUAGGAGUUGCUGAAUUAGAGACACUGAUUGGAAUUAUUGGAUUGCCUUCUAUAAUAUUGGCUAUAGACCCAAACCCACAAAUUGGAAGAGCUUCAGCAACAAGGAUGUCCAGAGAAAGGGAUGGAUGUGAUUGAAGUGAGAGAGAGGAUAACAGAGUCGGAGGCGGUCAGAGUCUCUGAGGAGUGACAUCAUUGAGCAUGAGUGGGUGGGCCACUAGGAAAAGUGCUUAUUCCACAAGCAAUCGACUCUAGCCUUCACUCUGAGAGAGCUCUCAGCUUCCUGCCUCGAGCUUGUCUAAUCUCCAAGUGAUUGUGUCUACUGCUACCACACUACCCAAGAGCUGGCCUCUCUCAUGUUCCCUGCUCCAUCCUGCUGGGACUGAACCUUCUCGUUUGUCUUUCAGUUUCCUGUGGUGCCCUUAGUAUCCAUCACGAGGUUGAAGGCAUGAGGAACACAAAGAUUCUUCCCCUGGGGUCCAUGAGUCUCUAUAUCAGAAGUUCCUAAAGACUUGGUCUCAGGCUGAUGUCCAGUCACCAGGAUCUGCUUCCCAGCUUCCAAACUGCAAAGUCCCACGUGUUGGUAGGUUAUGGCGAGGGUCUGCAUAGAACUAGAUAAGCUGUGCAUGUGAUCUACUCUGAAGCCGGGUUGGGAGGCAUGUUGAAAUUAUCUAGGUGUUCUCUAACAUGUGGGCUUUCGAUGCUGAAAUCCUUGACAUUUGACAUUGACUAUCUCUGUUGAAAUGCAUUUGGUACACCUAGCUGACCAGGCUGCUCCCCACCGCUCUGCCCGCCCACUGUUGGUUAUUCCUCUUUCUGGUCUUGGGGCUGGCAGCAGAAGGUCACAUGGUAAUAUUAACCAACAUCUUGAGGAUUUUACUAACCUAGAAAAGAUUGCAAUUAAAAGUUUGAAGUGUGUUUUCUUCUAAAUACAGAUUGUUUUUGUAUCAUAAAGUUUAAGAAUUCAGGGCCAGAGAGCUAGCUGUGGGUUAAGGAUGCUAACUUUGCAGAGGACAGAGGCAUUGAGCGCCCCGCAAAUCCUCUCCAUCUCUAACUCCAGGGGAUCGGACAUCCAGCUUUCAUGCACCUUCACUUGGAUGCAGACAUCCCCUCCCCAUAUAUGUACUUAAUUAAAAACAAAAUAAACCUUUUAAAAAUUACAUUACGAUUCCUGACUCAAACCACUGUAAGUAAGGGACUCCCAAUGUAGAAAGAGCUCCUGCCCCAUGUGUGAAUGCGUUUUUAUAGAGUCCUCCAAAUUUCCAUUUGUUCUUGUGAGUCUAGGCAAUGAAGUGAUGUGGCCCUUUCUUCAUGGCAUCCCUGGGUGGGGACUCUAGCAAGCAGCUAGGGAAAUAGAGGUCUGUCAGCACUUGUCCUCAGAAAUUCUUAGAAUGCUUAGUUGUAGGCUGUGAGAAGAGUUGACAUGGAAAGUGCCUCAGCCUGCUUCUGGUGAGUGUUAAAGCUGUGGACGAAUACUGUCCUAGUGAAAGGGAGGCAGAAAGGCAGAUCCAGCCCCUGCCUGCUUUGAGAGCUUUUCUAAUUUUUCUAAUUGGCUCAUUCCUUAUCUGAAAGGAAUGUCCUCCCCACUUGGUCCCCCACUGCCAGCUGCUCUUGAUUUCCUAGCACUCAAAUGCCAGAGCGGAUGUAGCUGCUUUGAAGGAUUUUUCAGGUGUGUGUGUGUGUGUGUGUGUGUGUGUGUGUGUGUGUGUGUGUGUGUGUGUGUGUGUGUGUAUCUGUCUGUCUGUCUGUCUGUCUGUCUGUGUCUGUGUGUGUGUGUCUGUCUGUUUGCAUCUGUGUCUGUGUGUGAGUCUGUGUGUGUGUCUGUGUGUGUGUGUGUGUCUGUGUAUAUCAGGCAGCUGUAUCAGCUCCGUGUUUGUAACUGAGAAAGCUGGUUCUUCAGCAGGUCUCGAGCUGGGAGAUCUGGAAGUUUUUGUCUUUUGUCUUUAUUCUUAGUAUGUCUCCCCAAAUACUCACCAUGAGUGAGAGACAACCCCACCCUUUUUUAAACCAAGCUUUUGAUGGCCCACUGACAAGGGCACAGAGAUUUCCAGCUAUUUCUGAUCGCUGUGAAUGGCUGCUCCUUAGCAUGCAUGUGUAAAUUUAUCUUGGGUUAAGACACAAGGGUGUGGGUUGCUUUGCUGUUUGUAACCAGAGUUAAGUGUAGACUACACUGCCCUGAGACUGUAGUUUGUCUCUAUUACAUCUACAGUAUGGAAGAGUCAGUGCUUGCCUUGAGUGCCUUUCUACAUGUUGGUUAAUUUAUGUAGCAUUUCCUGCUGAUCUCCCGAGUACCAGGCAUGGUUGUGGACUCUGAUAGCCCAGUGGAAGCAAAGCUAAAAUCCUGCUCUCAUGGAAGACAGGAGGAUAAAGUGACUUGGCGAGGCACGCAGAGACUCUUGUAUUUAAGCUGUUGCUGUCAGAAGCACUGUGUCUUCAGUCCUCUUUGUCCUUUAUUCCCCAGAGGAUUCAUUACUAUUAGGCUCUAAGUGACUCAAAGAACUGAAUGUCUCUUUUCUCGGGUUAUCUGCUUCUUAGCUGAGGUGAAAGUCUUCAAGAGAGAGGUUCUGAGCAAACUUCCUUAGGGAGCCUGACACCAGCAGAAGCCUUGGGCUUUCAGGACCAGUGACUCAUUUCUCCUGGGCCAGCCCGUACUUAGAACUCAACAAAACUGUAGGCCAUCCAUUAUGUCUUGCCAAGCAGUAAAUUCAAAUGUCACCAUCUCAGCCACCUUCCAAGUUUCCUGUCACUUGAGUCCUCUGGUUUUGUCACUGACACCUUAUUGGUUAUAGUCCAAAUUACUCCUUGUGUGAAUGUGCGGCAGACAGGACAGAGCUAGGACAGGGGAUCCCACAGCAUGAUGGGGCUCCUCCUUCUGGCCUGUUGUACCUCCUCUCUUCUCCCCUCCAGUCCCCCUUUUCCUCAUGUAACAGAGCCUGGCUGAACCCCUGAAGCUCACUUGUGCGUGACCAUGUGCGGCUCCACGGGUGAGUUCUGUCUCCCCAGAUUCACACCUUGGACUCAGAUACUCAGAAUGUGGCAGUAUUUGGGGGACAGAUUUUUAAAAGGAAAUUAAGUUGCAGUGAGGUUGAUAGGGUUGGCUCUAAUGCAAUGUGAUGAACGUCUCUAUGAGAAGAAGAGACUAAGACAGGGGAAUGAGAAGAGAGACCAUGGUAGGAUGCAGAGAGAGAGAGAGACCCCUUGAAAAGCCAAGGAGAGAAAAAAGCCUCAGCGUUAGAAGUAGCCGGUGCUGACUCGUCUCGAGUCAGACCUUGAGCCUCCAGAAUUCAAGGAAAUCUGUUUUUGCAGCUGAAGCCAUUUUUUGUCACAGCUAACCAGGGCACUACCACAAACCCUAUUUGUGACCCCAGAAGUGCUCUGCUUCUCUUGGGUCUAUGAUCUUGGUCUGGUUGGUUUCCAGCUCACUCCUUGGGAACUAGCCUGACUUCUGGCAGCACUGGAAACUCUGGCCUUAAUGAGAGGAGUGUCCACAAAUGCCUGUGGGCUGAUGGAGGUGACAGGCUACCAGUUGUUUCCUGAACAUAGUCUGGCUUCCAUUCUAAGCAACUUGCCUUGACCCUGCUCUCAGGGAGCAGUGAGCACAUUCAUGUCAACAGCUGCUCCUGCUGUGUCUCUGGUUUCUAGUGAGCUCCUCUCAAGGCCUUACCUUCUGAUGAGACCGCUGCCCAGUUAGGGACUUGUUAGAAUGUGAUGGUCACAAUUGAGGUUUCUAUUUCUAGAGUGUGCAGAGCAUGUAGCCUUGCUUACUUUUCUCUGAGCCCUCUAGUCACCGUCUCAGCCACCUCAUAGACUAGAAGGAAAGGUUGUUCCUGUGUCCUGGCCAGGGCAGUUAGAUGAGGGUGGGGCAAGAGGAGAGCUGGUUAAUGGGCAAAGGGGAUUCAGGAGUGACAACCAGCCAUAGAACGUUGCCUCUGUUGGAGAGGGUGCCCUGGAGUGCUCGUAAUGGCCUCUACCCAGAAGAUUUUGCAUAUCUAUCUAUCUAUCUGUCUAUCUAUCUAUCUAUCUAUCUAUCUAUCUAUCUAUCUAUCUGAUGGCAAAUCAAAAUCCUUGUAUACGUUAGACAGAUACUCUCCCACUGGGCUAUACCAACAACUCCUACAUUUUUUAUUGUAAAUAAAUGAAGAGAAGAAGAGAGCCCUCCAGGAUCCUAGAAAUGAGAAUCUAAAGAAAGAGAGAUGCUGGGGCUGGGACAGAGUCCGAGAGAAGAAACAAACAGGGAUCUAGGUGACGGUGAUAGACCGAUGGACAGGAGAGAAGGAACAGGAAACUAGGUGGCCAGAGAGAAGAGCAGGGAGGGAAGAUGGCGGAAGAGGAGGCAGGGAGCCCACGAGCCUACGUAACAUACGUGCUGCCUGUGAAUGUUCGGAUCCUAAUUUGUUCUUACUUCUGCUGGGGAUUCGGUACUUACAGAUUUCCAUAGUCUGAACGUAGUUCAGAUUUAGAUUAGCACUAUGAUUCCUUUGUGUAUAGCUGUAUGCCAGGCUUCAUGCCAAGGCUCUGAUAAGCAUGACCUUUAAUCCCCUGACAGUCCUAGGAUGGGGCUUUCAUUAGCCUCACUUCAUGAACAGGAAGCUGAGGCUCAGAGUAGGUCACAUUGGUUCUGAGGGCUCUGAGCUAGGACUUUGCAAUCACAUCUGUGAGCCCAGUGCUGGUAGGUUAAGCACAUUUCCACACUUCUCUAGUCUCUUCUUGGUAGUAUCCAUGUUAGCUUUGGGCACUGCUCUGUGCUUUGACUGUUGCCAGCAUACCUAUGCACACAAACUCUUGGUACGCUUCUUUUUUUUUUUUUUUUUUUUUUUUUUUUUUUUGGUUUUUCGAGACAGGGUUUCUCUAUAGCCCUGGCUGUCCUGGAACUCACUUUGUAGACCAGGCUGGCCUCGAACUCAGAAAUCCACCUGCCUCUGCCUCCCGAGUGCUGAGAUUAAAGGCGUGUGCCACCACACCCGGCUUCUUGGUACACUUCUAAUCUAUGCUGAGUAUCUGUUUGUUGUUUCCCAAGAUGUUGGUAAACACCUUUCUCAGGUGGCGUUUGCAGUCAUGUUGCCAUCUUUCUAUAAAUGCAUAUUGUUCUCUGUAGAUGAGAAACUAGUGGUCGUGAGAGGUUCCAUGAUCAUUUAGGAUUGCUGUGCAGUGUCUAGAUGGUGGGACUUAGACACAGCCCAAUGUAACAAAGUUCCAGUCCAACACAUCGACCCUGUUCUUCGCCCUGAGAAAGCCACCUUCUCCAUGGCAGCCGCUUCCCUUGGGUCAGAGGAGUCAAGCACACCGAUGAGCCAUACUUAGAGUGGCAAGGCAGCAAGGGACCGAGGGAGCCGACAGGACCUUCCCCUUCCCUGGCUGUCUGAACCAGGACCAUAUCUAUACCUUCCUGGGAGUUCCGACAUGGUCUUCUCACAAGGUGAAAGGACAGUUCUCAUAAGGGAGUGUGAGGCUUAAAUUUUUCAGUGCAUGGAUCAUUCCCCAUAAGCCAGAGGAUAGGGAAGGGCCAAGCCUGGCAAUACUGUAGAGAAUGGGGAAGGCCAAACCCUGGUAGGCAGAGAUAUGAUGGGUGGGGUUCAUUCCUCUGCUUUAGAGGGCGAGACACAGUAAUGCCUUCCCUUUACGCAGGUCACUGAACUCCAUACUUGAAAUAGAGGAGGCUCCAGGGCCCUUGCAUGUUAUUCUGAUCUCAGAGUCAAUCAAGUCUGUGGCCCCAUAGAUGUUGUAUCUAGAGAACCUCGGCUCUGGUAGAAGAACCAUAACAGUUUGGGGCUGCUGCUCUUUUUAGCCUGGUUCAGGUCAGAGAAGAAUGCCUGUCGGAGAAAAUGGAUAUCAAAAGAACAUGGGCUUGCAAGGAAGUCUUUCCACGUACACACACACACACACACACACACACACACACACAAUCCCAACCAACUUCUAAUGGGCAUGAGGUCCACCUGUAGAUCCUGCCAUCUCCCCUGGUUGUUUUAGGCCUGUAAAAGCCUAAAGCCCUGAUAUCUGGUAUCUUACACACUAUAACACACCAGAUGCAUUACAAUGUAUCCACAGCCCACAUUAAAGAGAAUAUGUUUGCUAUACUGAAAUUACAAGGCAUUGUUGUACUUUUUAGAUGAAUGAGCUUUGCUAAGAUCAAAUCACUCAGUUUGGUCUUUCAACAUAAUCUUUGACACCGAUCAAUAACUCAUUGAGUUGAGCUACGUUUUUUCCUAAUGGACACAGUGUAGUUACUGAGUUAAACAUUCAUUUUGAUUUUACAGUAUCAUAUGUUGGGCCCAGUCUAGCUGUUUUGUUUUCAGUUUUUAAGGGUUUCAGAGGACCAUGAGAAGCUUGUUCAUACCUGUUGAGCCUGUUGCACAAAUGGAUUCAUUGGAUGGAUUAAAUCUUAUCUGUCCCAGUUAUCCCCGUUUUCAGAGAAGGAGGGAGAAAGAAACCCUAUUUUAGACACUGGAUGCUCAGUUUCUAGCCUAGAUUCUAUGAGAUUCACAGGCCCUAUAAUGUUUGAUGUUUUAUUUGUAACUAUCAAAUGUAAGUAGCUGUCAUGGUUUGGAUAUGAAAUGAAACUCAGGCUCAUGUUUUGAGGGCGUGGCUCAAGAGUGUGUCAGGCUGAGUGGGAGGAAGGUAAGGUAUAUCUUUGGAAGCUACGGGAUGCCUGGCCUCUCCACAUUUCUCUGCUUCCCUGGUACUGGAAUGUAGCUUCUGCCACGCUGUCCAGCUUCACCACAGACCCAACUGAGCAUAGGUUCUGAAGCCAUGAGGCCCAAUAAAACUUAGCCCCUUUAAGUUGUUGAGUGAAGUUGUUUUGUCAUAGCAAUGGAAAGCUAACUAGGACAAUCUCUGAGGACUAUGCAACGUAUCCCGCUCAGGUGACACCAAAUCAGUUGCCUCGAGUUCAUUAAAAGAAGAGAGCUGGUUCUCCUUGAGCCUCACUCUGCCGUGAUGGAGGUGUGAGGCUCUCCUUUGCCCCAUGAAGGAGCCUCAUUCGGAUACAGUGAGGACAGAGUCACUUUUUUAGAGGGGAUACCGCUGCUCAACACCCCUGCUGAGCACAGGACCAGCGGAAGAACUCGCUUGGGGUGAGAAGCAGGCUAGAGCUGCCUCUGCAGCGAUGUUCCUCUCCUUAACUCAUUAUUUCCCAAGGCUUCCGUGAUCACGCGCUCCCCUCCUGCCCAUCCGCCGUACCUGCAUAGUUGUAUUCCAGCUUAAAAAUGCAAAUGCCCAUUUUCCAUCAGAUCAUCUACUCUAAAAAGGAAAUAGUAUUAUCCUUACCCUGUGUGCCUCCCAUUUAAGACACCUAACAUGAGUGGGUGACAGAGUCAAGCUAAGCCAAUAUGAGCUACCAAACUCCAAUAAUAAUAAUAGUAAUAAUAAUAAUAAUAAUAAUAAUAAUAAUAAUAAUAAUAAAACAAGCCCAGCAACAACAGAUAGCCACGGCUGGACUCAAGAUCUGUUAAACCCUGGAUGGAGAAGAUGGAAAGGUUCGGACAACACUGUGGGCUGGGAAGAUGGCAUGACCUUCAGGGUCUCCCUGGGCAGGCACAUACUAAGUGCCAAAGCACACUGAGGAGAACAUUGCCUGGCAGGAGUCUCUCCUACUUCUUCAUCUUUCAGUGUUUUCGAGUCUUUUGUUUCAAUCGAUUGGCAAUGUUUAAAUGGCACAUUUCACACAGAAGCACAAUAUUACUAAUGAGGCGAUAAGAAGUAAGACAUUUUACGCUAAUUUAUUAUGCUCAAGAAAGAUAUUCUUUCAAGUAAAUUUUAAGGGGUUUCAUUUAUACCAUCUCAUUUUUUUUAAGUGUAAAAGACGAUCUUAUUUCACUAAUGAAAGUAAGUUCUAAUGAGGUGUGCUCUUCCCUUCAUAGAAUGACCUUACAGGUAUUUCAGGUGCCCUUGACACUUGGGCACAGGAUCCCAGUCUGAGCAUGCAGAGACUGUUCAGUACCUCUGCCACCUUGCUGGUGACUUCCGGUCACUGAGUUUCCUGUAAGAAGUUGCCCCAGGUAUUCUUAGUGGUCCUUCUCUUCUUCCCCUCGGUUUCUUUAGAAGCCUCAUCACUAGCAGAGCCCUCCAUGAUCAUGUCACUUUAGCAGGGGCUGUCACACUCUCAUGCUGGUUUAUUUGAACUUGUCUUAUGUCAGGUGAGUCACUGUGGCUGAGGCAAGCCAAAUGUUCCCUCUCCCCUACUGGUUCCUUCUCAGGGUAGGAUAAUUUUGCAGAUGGAUAACAGUCCUUGAUCUUGAAGCGGCCUUUGAAAGUUAGACAUGAGCUUCUUGGCUUAGACAACACAGCCAGACUCCAACAUCAGUCCCCAAAUAAGGAGCCACGAAGUCCCCAUCCAACAGUGACUUCCUUCCUUCUAGGACUAGAUCCUUCCACAUGUUUAGCAGAGGCAUAGAUUUCUCCAGGGGACACGGUAACCUUGGGCUUUCUGUCGUGGCUGGCUUUGUUAUGUUAUUUUUUAAGGCAUGAUGGCUUGGAUUGGCUCAGCUGGACUUCGUCAUCUUCUGCUGCUGUCUUAUAAUUCAUGUUAUGAAAGCUUGGGUUAAGUGUUUCAGAUGAGGAGCGUAAUCAAAAAGAAACAGGAUUAGGACAAUGCUGUGCCCUUCCCAGAGUAGAUGGUCUGAUGGAAAAUGGGUACACUGUUUCAAAACUGACAAACAACUGUGUAUGCCAGGUGGGUGGGCAGGAGAUAAGCCGAAGGCCAUGGAAGCCUUGGCAAAUACAUUAAUCAGAAGAGCCUCACUGAAGUAACAAAUAUCAUCAAUUAGUGGAGCCUUCACAAGAGAAAUGUUUAUAGGUUGCUCCUAUCGCAACUCAGGUGCAUUAUUGGGAUGCCAGAGGGGUAACGUGGGUUCAAGGCUCCUGCUUUGCAACUGCACUGCCCACUUGGGUCUUAAUGGCUUUGUCUGGAUGCUCUUUAGUUUACAGAUACAGAACAAGAAAGGGUGUGGGAGGUUGCAACCAAGUUUUAGAGCACAGGUAGAGAAUUGGCUCCUAGCUUCCCACAUCAGUCCAUGGCCUUGUCUCCUCCAGGAAACUGGAGUGGAGUUUAGCUGGGAGCCCAGAAUGUUUGGUGGAUCUCAGUAGGACAUUUGCUACAAGAUGCUGUUUACCCACCUGGAAAGGUCAGGGAAGGCACAAGGCUAAUGUGGAAGAAGUAGGGUACUGUGUGCAUGAUGACCAAGAGCCAUCAUGAAAAGGAAGCAGGGAUAGUAUGAGUUGGGCCUUCAUAUAGAACUGUGCUCUAGCCCUCAGUUUGUAAUGGUACGACCUGGCUCUGGCCUGCAGAGUCCAAGGUUGUACCAUUUGCCCUGAGAUCUCGUCCCCUUUUUGAGAUGUUAUCUUAGUUUGGGUUUUACUGAAGUGAACAGACACCAUGACCAAGGCAACUCUUAUAAGGACAACAUUGAAUUGGGUUACAGGUUCAAAGGUCUAGUCCGUUAUUAUUAUGACAGGAAGCAUGGCAGCAUGCAAGCAGGCAUGGUGCAGGAGGAGCUGAGAGUUCUACAUCUUCAUCUGAAGGCUGCUAGUGGAAGACUGACUUCCAGGCAGCUCAGAUGAGGGAGGGUCUUAAGCCCACACACACAGUGACACACCUACACGAACAACGCCACACCUCCUAAUGUUGCCACUCCCUGGACCAAGCUUAUACAAACCAUCACAUAUGUUGUCUGGGAGUGUGUCUUUCACUAUCACUGCAAGUCCCAUUAGGAUUCUCUCUGUCCUGAAAAGUUUGAUUCCUUUCUGUUCUUGGAUUGUUCCUUCUCCUGGAUGUAUUUUUAAAAAAUAUUUUUAUGAAUUCUUUGUGAAUUUUAUUUUUAUCAUAUGUAUCUCUAGGUCUCCCUCUUAUCUCCUUUCAGACCCUCUCCCACCUCCCCACCUUUCACUUUGUGCCCGCCCCCCUUUUUCUAAAAAUGUAGCAGCUCAUCGAGUCUAGUUUGUGCCAUUUGUGUGCUUCUGGGUGACGGGUCACUCACUAGAGCACUACCAACCGGCCAGGGGCAAUGCCUUUGAAGAAGAAAUGGCUCUCCCUCCCCAGAAGCCAUAGUAUUCAUACCUCCUCGGUCAGGUCCGUUCCCACUCCGUGCUGGGAGGCUGACUGGCUUACUCUUGUGCAGGUCUUGUGCAAGCGGCCACAGCUGCUGUGCUUUCGUGGGUGCCGAGGUCCUGCCAUGCGCAGAGGACACAGUUUUGCUGUUGUCCUUCCUAUCCUCUGGCUUGUGCAGUCUUUGCACCUAAUGUCCCGAGUUGGUUGGGCUGGCGUGUGAUAAAAUGUCCCAUCUGCGGCUGACCUCUCCACGGUCUUUUUUUUUUUUCUUCACACUAUUUCUUUUUUUUCCUCCACAUGCUUUUAAUGAAUUAUUUUGUAGUCUCUGGCCUUCUCCCUUUUAUCGUCCCUCCUAUGACUGUUUUCAUAUACUUCCCCAAUGUGAACUCUGUGUAUCAGUGACCAGAGGAAUUUGGGACUUUACUGGUUUGAACUGCCCACCAGCAGAUGUUCCCUCUGCUGCAUUAUCCCACGUCGGAACAUUCAUCCCCAGGGACCUGACCUGCUAUGGAAAACUUGAGGGAGGAGCCUCUGGGCUCACCAACCCCAACAGUGUUCUUCAGGAUUGACCCUGCAGCCUUAUUUUUACACUGGAGAAUCUGCAAAUUCCAUCACCGGAGAAAAUAGAAACGUUGUCCAAGUUAAGGGCUUUUGAGGACACUGGGGGCACUUUAUUCCCAAGAGCGGACACUGACUUGGAUAUGUGUUUGGUUCUGAUGGGAUCUGGGAAAAAGGUUUCAGUCACUAACAUAGAGAAUGUGUUAUAAUACAGUUUCUGAAAUAAAACAAAUGUUUCCCUGAAUGGAAGAGAAGUGUGUGUGAGUGUGUGUCUGUGUCUGUGUGUGUGGUGUUUAAGAUCUCUGAUAAGAACAGCCAGAGUACAAUGACCAUUCAUCAUCAUUAUGUGCACUGUGACAGUUGUUCUGCACACCUCUGUCCUUUGGUUCAUUCAGGUGACACAUGGCAAGGAGGAGGUGCUCUUAGCCUCCUGAGUCCUCAAAGAGGUCACAGAAUCUGCCCUGUCGCAUACGUGGAGGGCAGAGAGCUAGGGAUAGUCCUAGGACCUCACCACAUGCUUCCAUUUAGAAGUAGUCACUUAUAACAAAGAAAUCCUAUUUUUCAACCCAUACAGCGGACAUUUCUGCUGUGAUACAGGUAGGUGGCUUAAAAGUGCCUACAGACUUUUCAGGCUCCAUAUCCAUGAUCCAGAGUUCCUAUAUGGGAUGUGUGUGUGUGUGAUAUUAUUGUCACAAGAAAAGCAAAAUCUCUAUUGAAAUACCAUGUAUUGGUAUUGGACAAAUUUAACAAGAUUAAGCAAGCAUUCCUGUGAGAAACUGGGGUGGGUGACGGCGAGGGUGAGAGGACAGAAUCUUCAAUAAAACACAGUCAUGAAUUUCCUUGACUUUUUAAGGAAGCCACAAAAUAGUACAGUUUUGAGUAUAUACUCUGUCCUGUGUGCUUAGGACAGGAAUGUCUGAAUUGAUGGGGUCUUCCUGCUGGCAGUCUGGGCCUGGAAAGGGACUGUAAUAAUUAGUAAGACUAGGCUUUCACUUGAUUUCUACAUCACCAGGAAGACCCAACCCUGGGAAGAAAGAGACUUCUAAACAUGUGUGGUCCGAGCUCUUGGAGCACCAACUCUGAGUCCGUGGCCACCAAGAGCACCGUUCCUGCUGUGUCUUACAGGGCUAGGCUUGGCCGAACAGGGCAUGCUUCAGGAAUGCCUAACUUAGGAGGAGGAUCUGCUGGCCUCUCCCAAUAACUUUGACUUUAGCAGUUUCGGUGACAUUUGUCUUGUGACACUCUGUGCUUGAAGGGGACAAGGCCGGCUGCUUUACUCAGUACACCUGGACCAGGGAUCUGGAGCUUUCUGAAGGUUUAGAAAACCCUCUUGUCUCUCUCAUUUGGGUCCCUGCAAUCUGUCAGCUCGGUCCCUUCUCCUCUUUCUCCUUCUCUUCCUCCCCCUCCCCCUCCCCUUCCUCCCCCUCCCCCUCCCCUUCCUCCCCCUCCCCAUCCCCUUCCUCCCCCUCCCCUUCCUCCCCCUCCCCUCCCCCCCUCCUCUUCCUCCUCCCCCUCCUCCCCCCUCCUCCUCCUUCUACAUUGAGGUGGAGUCUUUCUGUUUCCAUGGCUGUCAUAGAGUUUACUCUGUGGCCCAGGCUGGCCUGGAACCCGCAGAGAUCCACCUGCCUCUGUCUCCCUACGUGCUGGGAUUAAAGGAGUGAGCCACCACACCUGGCUGCCAGCUCUCUCUUUAACAGUUAACAGCCUUCUUAGCAAGAGAAAUCACCUAGGACUCCUUGCUUCUUCUCAGGUGUUAUGUUGUGAUAAAAUUCAGUCAGGAUUUCCGAGCCUAGGUGUGACAAAGCUCUGAAUGGGUUUGAUUGCUAAGAUGGUUUGAGUUUUUACACAUAAAAGUAAUUUAUGUAGUCCUCAGCUUUUGAACUGCUCUCAUUCAUUAUUAAGUGGAUGUUUCUAACAGAGAAAGCUGUGACUGGCAUUUAGUUUCCCAGGCUGGCCUGCCUAGCGGUAACUCCGCGGAAACAUAUAUAGUUGCUAUGAAUCAUAAUGGAAGAGAAUGUUUUUGCAAAUGAAUAAUGUGGAAUUGUAGCUACAGACUCCCUCCAUGCUACACUCACCUUGAGAAGAGAGGCGCAUCUCCAGCCAUGAUGGAAGCUAUGAAAAGGGACCAGGAGGGAGGCCUUUGUGGUUGUAGGGCUGGGGUGUGAAUGGUCAGCGCUGCAGGUUCUGCAUUCUGAUAGGAAGUGAAAGCCUUAGGCGGUCUCUGGAUUCAAGCAGGCCAGGGCAUCUCAGCAGUUCUAUUCAGAAGCUGCUCAGCAAAGGCUAUUUUGACCCAUUGCAGGUUAAUAAUUAAUCCCAUACCCAGUACUGCUUCCACAGCUCGCUCCAGGUUACAGCUGCCACCAUCCCCAUCUGAGGUUGGGGGCUCAGGCUGUCAGAGCCAGGAGCAGGCAGCAGGGUGCCUGACUCAGCUCAGGUAUCACAUAACAUACACUGAAGACACUGAAAUCCUGUGCAGCAUCACUGCCUCCAUGGAGCCUGGGAUGCCACACCCGAGAGUCUAUUUGUCACCUCUGGGAUGAGCAUGGUGUCCCCUGCCCCACCCCUUCUGCUUUCUUGUAUCUUGGGCCACUGGAAGCUCUCAUGGGCCAUUGAGAACAGCCAAUUAAACCUAGAGUGCUGUGCAGUUUAGAUCCAAAUUAUACCCCAGGAAAUCUGUCACAGUGUGGGUUUCCCAUUGAAUUAAGACUCAGUGAUAUAAUGUAAUUAUUUAUUAUGUAAUAAAAACCUAUUAUGGAUAGCAAUUUUUCAGUGACUAAUUUAAUUUUACUUAUUAGUGUUCAUUUAGACCUUAGCUUAUGAUAUGUUUGAUACAGGUACUAAAACCAUUUGUUUUUGUUAAAAAUUCAGCAAUUUGAAAUUUUUCAAGGCUAAGACCUGCCAUCUCUGAAAAACGUUUUGGUAAGUGAGGUUUUUCUGUGUUUAAGUCAAUGACUGAAUAGAGCAAGUGGGACAUUGUAAGCCUGGUCCAGAAGCACCAGACUAUAAUGAAUUUUAUUAAUUUCUAAAUCUGGAAGGUUUAAGGAUGCCUUUAAAAGCAAUUAGCCUCUCUAAACAAUGUUGUACAAACUAGUCCAGUUCAGGAAAGCCCGGUGUAUGAGGAGCGGCAGCGUCGAGAUCCGCCCUGGGUCAAGUUGCCAGUUCAUCAGGAGUUUGCCCUUGCUUUCUACUUGGUCGGUUUGAUUCAUAUUUAUUUCUUCUUUAAUGAAGUUUUAGAACCCAGAAGCCCUCAUUUGGAAACGGACUUCUAUUCUUGGAGGGACAGCCUCCACACUACUGUGUUGGCCAGUCUUGUUGAGUGGUGGGUUCCUAUCAAGGCUGUCAGCAGUGGAGGCAGAGGCAAAACUGACUCGGAGGGGCCAGCGCUCCAGUGCACACCUCUGUCUCUGCUGCUUCAGUUUUGCAUCUGCCAGCCUGGACGCUAUGGUGAGGCCAAUCACUUGGUGCUCUGGUUGCUCUCCUGGUGCCUCUGUCACCCAUAUUUCCCGAUAGACAUGGAAAAGCCAUGGUGCCCGCUGUUUGUGUGAUCAGGAGAAUUCCUUGGCUCCCUGGAACCAGAGGCUUCCCCUUCUGGCUAUUUAAAUGUGUUCCCUAGCCUUAGUGAUGAAUCAGCAUUUAACAGUUAAUUACAGCUCCAGAGAUCAUAUAGUUGCUGCACAUAUGUGGGGGUGUGAUCUCAGCAUUGCAGGAUGUUAACGAGUUUCUCCACAUUUCCAGACUGUAAAGACUGGAACCAGGUUUGGAGGACAAGACAAAUCCAGCAGCAUCUUUGAUUUGUCAUCUUCUGCUUUCUUCCCGGUGUCUUCCAGGUCCUACUAGGGUGAGGCAGGGGGCCGUGGAAAGUGGACAGAGCUGGCAGGUUGUCCUGGGGAUGGGGACAUGAAGGGCUUGGGGAAACUGCUCACAAAAUGUCAUCACUAGUGGCUGCCGGGGUUGGCGUUUAUUGUCACAAGCUCGUGGGGAUGUGACAAGCUUUAAGGAUGUGCCUUUAUAUGUUGUCAUUUGAUUUUAAGGAAUGCUUUCAUGGUGAGGUUGCAUUUUGUUAACUUUUUAAUUCAAUGUUAUGAUCUCCUUCAGAAUCCCCUACAGUAUCCUUUGCUCCCCCACCCCCAUCCCAUCCCUUCUCACUAAGUUUCAGCUCAAUUGAUGGUUUCCAUGCUUAUACACUGCUCUUGCCGGUGUGAAGCAUGGGCAGGGGUCCACUGGUCACUUCCUCUGUCAGCUCUCAGUGCAAACGUGACCACCCCAGGGCAUUCUUCAGUCACCCAUAGCACAUGGCCAUUGUCCUACUUGCUUCUUAACUCAUGGGGGUCACUCCGUUAUCUUAUUUUUCAUAGCACUUAGGAAAAGAUUGGUGAUUUAAUUUGCCAAUUUUCUACCUCCACGGGUAAUAUAGGCCCGCACCGAGAAUAUACUGCCUAUAGAAAGGUAGGGUGGUUGAAUGGGUGGCUCCAGACUUCCCUUGGUUUGAUAUUAAAAGUCCCGUGCACAUUCCAGCAGUUAUGUAUCAGCGUAUUUACAAAGAAGACCGGUAACACAUUACAAAACACUCUUUGUAAAUAUACUGUCCUUUUAAAAUACAUGGUUUGCAAUUUUCACAUUCAAUGAACUGAAGAUUCAAAGAAAAAUGGAAAAUAUUGGGCCUGUACCAACCAGGUUUAGGAAUAAUUUUUUGGCCAUUUAUUUAUUUGGCCAUUUAUUCCCUAAACUACAUUAUGUCAACUCUUUGUGUGCCUUUUGCAUGGUAGCUCAUGUUUUAAGCCAGUUGAAGAUGUGAAAGGUGUCAGUUACAUGCAAAGGUGACAGGACCUGAAUAUCCCUGGAGUUGGAUAAUAAGUGGGGUUUAGAAGCCGGUUCCCCACUAGAUACUGAAGGGUGACUAAUGUCAUUCAAUGUUCUCACAGUGCUUACCUUAUUCUAUGAGGGAGUAAAUCCUAGUGGACGUUUGUGGGAUGCCUACAAACUGCUAGGGACCAUUUUGAGUAGCGGUUAUCAGGGGUGGGCUUUUUUCCACCAGGGGACAAGUGUCAGAGUCUAGAAUUAUUUUGAAUGGGCAGCAUGGGCAGCAGGUGUGCCAACAGCAUCAAUUAGGUGGCGGUCCUGAUGCUGCUAUCCACCCUGAUCAGCACAGGGCAGCCCUGUGAUGAAAAGACAUCUGGCCUGAAUGGUCCCUAAGGAGGGUCGUGGGAAUCAGGGGUGUGGCAGUGAAGAGUCAAGGCCCUUCCUUUUACAAAGCUUUGUUCCUGUUGGGGAACUAGUGUUAAUAGACACUAAACAAGUAUGACCAUUUCUCUAUUUUUUCUUUUUUCUCCUUCUUUUCCUUUCCAUUCUUUUAGCCUUCUCUCUCUUCUCUCUCUCAUUAACUCUCUUUCUCCACCACCUUCCUUUUUUUUUUUUAUGAUAGAGUAUCACUAUGUAGCCCAGGCUGGCCUUGAACUAUUUAUUUUAUAGCCUUAGACUUUGGAGUGCUAGUGUUAUAGGCAUGUGCGACAAGACUCUUCCAGCCUCUUCUCUUCCCCUUCCACACUGGGAUGUUGAUGUAUCUGCCACCCAGAUACUGCGGCAGGAUGGGCUGCAAUAGUGGGUAAAGACGGAGCUUUGUUUGGGUUUUCUGUGACUGGGGCUGAGUGAUCAUUUUCAUGGUUUCUUUGUUAGCAGCUUGACGUUCUGUGAGUUUACAAGGCACCUAAAGCACAGCACCAUUGGAAUACAGGGGAUGCCUGUCCAUGAGAGGUCUCACUGCUCCCUGAAGUACCGCAUGCGUAGUUCAUAACCCAUACUUUCCACCUCUUCCUCCAUCGUCUCCCAGACUGAUCAGAAGGCGAGAUCUUGUCUUUGCUGCUAAGCUUCAGAAUGUUAGAGGAAUCCAGCCUUUAAAGAGGCAUUUUUGAAUUUAUUUGACAUUCAUAUAAAUGUAGUACUUCUGCUACUUGUUGGGUCAGGUGAGUUCUUGUGGCUUUACCUGUUCUCAUGAGCACUGAGUCAGCGGGCCAGGUAUUAUCAGUCAGCAAGUCAGGAGAGGGCUUUUCAAGCCUGGGUAACAUGCAGGCCAACUUUGUCCCCAGGGUCUUGCCUUUCUGUUUGUAUUCUGCCACCUUCUCUGGGGAGGUUCGACCCUUGGGAAUCAGAUAGCUGUCACAGUGUCUGUGGUGUCAGCAGUGACAGUGGGGUGGAAGAAAAAGGAGGAAGUACAUCUUUUCUUUGAGAGUCUUUUAGGAGUAGGAACCCGUUCCAAGUGUUCCACAACAGACUGCACUGUGGUUUAUUUUUUAAGUGCCUAUCACACACCUCUCUGAUGUGGAGAAUGGAGGCUUUUCUUGCUUGGCUUGGUUGCCUUAGAAGUUAUAGCUCCCAUGGUGGGAAAAGGUUGGAUACCUGAAUGCGAUCUGGACCCUUCAGCAAGGGAGAACCUGUGCUUGUUCCAUGGCAGGCACACCUCCGAUGUUUUACUUUUUCUUACUAGAGUGGACAUGGAACUCAGAGAAUUGAAUCAAAGCAUUCUUCACAUAUUCAAAACAUGGACAUUUUUGUAAUGUUGUCACCCAAUGAAUGGCAAGGCUGACCUUGGGCCACAUGUCCCUCAUUGAUGAGGGUGACAAAUUACAUUGACUUAUAGAGUUUGAGAGUUGACAGGCUUUAGUGACCAGCCAGCUCGUUGAUAUCAGGGACAUAGAGGCACAGCCUGCCGAGGACUGUGGUCAGUGCUUUCUAGCCUGUCAUUGAAGCCUGAAUACUCUUGGUACUCACGGACCUCGGUUGGCCUCUCCUUCUCCUUCCACAGUCUCGAUUCUUUUUCCUCCGGUAAUCAAUACUGGUGUGCACUUUGAAAUUUUUAUCUGAGCUAAAACCAGAAGAACUAAAUAACUACACAGACCAGUCAUAGCUCAGAGCAUUCAUAGCUCAGCAUAUUAGCUCAGCAUAUUAGAUAGCUUACAUUUAUGUCUGCUUCACUUGGGUCAUUGAAAGACAGUUUCUAUAUUAGCAUGUAUAGGUGUCAUUUUGAUCUAGAGGGUCUUCAGUUUGCUUAUUGGACAUUCAUAGUUAUACUAUAACUAUGUAUGGGGCAUCACUUCUCCUGCUCUAAGAUAAACCCUACCCAACCUCUUACAGUCCCAGGAGAGAGGAGAAAGAGGCACACCUUCCUGUAGGAAAGCAUCCCAUUUGAAUUGAUCCCCAGAGCCCUCAUUUCAUUUGAAGGUGUUCUGGGUGUGAAUUCCAAACUUUGUGCCUCAACCACCAACAGGGCAUGAGUGAGUCCCUGAGGAGGCUGUCGCUUGUGGGUCAGGCGUCUGCUGCCCGUGAAGAUGCCGUGCUACGGAAUACCUUGUGCCUGUUAACAGACCAAGAUGCUGGACACAGCAUCAUCAUGAGAUCCUAUCAGCAUUUCCUGGAACAAGAGAAAGAAACCUGUCUCCCACCCUGGGAUUAUGUCUCUUGUCUGAAGUGAAGCACAUAUGCUGGGACUACCAGGCCACAGAAGCAGCAAGCCAGCCGCAGGAGAAUGGUGCAGAGCUCUCUGUCCCAUUCCCAUGCUCAGUGCCAUCCCCUCCAGUGGCACAGGCACGGCCUUUUACCUCAGUUGCAGGUAUCAUGACAUUCAGAAGUGGCCCCAUUUGAUUCUUGCUGUCUGCUGGGGGGCCAGACAGUCCCCAUGGAGAAUGUGUUAGACAGAGCUGAGUCAUAGUCCUGGGGCCCACAUGGCCUUGUGCUCAGUUGGCCUUCUUGCUUUCCCCAGUCCUCAGGAACUGGAGGUAGCACAUGUUUGGGGACAUCGCCAUUGUGUUCAUCCCGUUGCCAGCAUGCCUUGGCUUCCUUCAGCGUGUUAGUGACACGGACUUGGGCUAAUCUGCCUCUCUCUCUUUUCCCCGCAUGCUGUGGUCUAUUUGGAUAUGUAAUUGGGAUUUUUUUUUUCACAAGAGAGCUUGCUAAACAGAACCCAGGAGGCCAGAAUGGGAUGUUGUGACUUCAAGGGUCUGCUUCUUGUCAAACCUCAGGGCCAGAGCCCCGGGCUCCAUUUUUCAGUACCGUGCAGGCUCUGUGACGUCCGCACAGCUGCCACUUCAAAGAGGGGAAACAGGGUUAGGGAGGCUGGGCAGUUUCUUGAACAUCAAAUGGUGAUUGCAAAACAAUAAUUUGGUGAGUUAUGAAUGAAUCAGAAACAGACUGGUUACAUUUCUCCCAGAAUGCUUAUUUAAAACAGACACACAUACACACUCAUACUUAACACUCUGCCCCAAAGAACAUUCAUUCCCUCCCGGGGGAGAGGGGUCUUAGCCACAUGUUUUGGAAGAUUAUAAAACUGGAGUGCUUUCCCACCCAGCAAAGCUUCCGGGCCCACUUCCUCCUUUCCUAGAAUGGCAGAAGCCUGCCAUUCUUCCCAAAUGAACUCAUUCCUUUCUGCCUUUUAAAGGAUGAGGUAAAACCACAGGGCAGGAGUAUUGCACACUGGGCUUAGCAGGCUCCUUGUGCAGUGUACUAAGUGUCCCCCGCCUCCUUGGCAGGGUAAGUUCUUGCAUUCCCACAUGGGAGCACGACUGGUAGUGGAGGGCUUUGGGAAGUGGCAGGUAGCUGGGUUACAGAGAGGAGGUGGGCUGUCUGGGAGCACUAACUCCCCUGUUCUGUUUCUUUCAGACUAGGUGUGCAUUUCUUUACUUGAGAAGCCUUUCUGCCCUGAACGGCGUUCCCUUUGUCUUGCUGUGCUGUACACUGGUCUCUGGCAGGACAUAGAACAGUUUGUAUCUGUGUUAUUGACCAUCCUCACAGUGUCCCCAGUUCUUAGCCUAGUACUAGCAGUUGAUGCUGAGCGGACGACUGGUGGUUGUGUUGGGUGUGUUUUUGUAACAGGAAGUAGGAAGCAGAUUUGGUGCGCUCAGUCUGUUCAGACACCUGUGAUGGAGCACUGUAGACCAGGUGGCCCACAAACAACAGAAGUCCAUUACCCACAGUUUUGAAUCUUGGGGAGUCUGAGAUCAAGGGGCCGGAUCUGAACUGUUUCUUGAAUCACAGAGGCUGAAUCCCCAUUGACCUUUACAUAAAUAUGAAGUGAGAUGACCUGCGUGUUCUUUCUUAUACACAACGACAUCCCCCAGAGGGCCCAAGUGUUAGGAGCUCUUCACUCUCUUCAAGGGCCAGUUUCACCUUUCUUAAGCUUUGUGACCCGCUUUGGUUAGUCCUGCCAAUCAUGAUGCAACCUACCCUCUUAAUCCAUCAUUUUGUUAUGCAAGUAAAGUUUUGCCCUGCAACAUGUUUCCUACACCUUGGUUUUAAAUUCCCCAGCUUCAUGUUUUAUAUGCAUCUCUGAAUAAAAUGACUUAGCUUGAUGGUUUUAUUAGAAAAAUUAAAAUUACAGUCCUCAAAGCUCAGUAGAACUUUGCAAAGAUAUAUCUGUGAUUAUAUUUUGAAUACAUUGCCAAAACAAAAGACUGACCAUAGGUGUUGUGAUGUGUGCUGAGUUAACAGGACACACAAAGUGGGGGGGUGGUGGUGAGGAGGUAUUCCCGAGCUGUGGCUAAUAUCUGGGAAACCUGUCCCAGCACUCGGAGUCCUUGCCGAGGGCCAGAGGGUUUGUAAAGCCUGAGAGGCAAGCAUCCAGCCUGCAGUGUCCACAGCUUCUCUUUCCUUUCCUUCUGCUCACUGCUUCUCCUAGAAACAGCUUGUCUCUUGGGUCCUCGUAAAGGACCAAUGAAGCCAGUGGGAAGAAUUUCACACAGUAAACCAAGGGGUUAGCAAGCCCCUUCUGCGUCCUUUCCAUGUGAGCCUCCGUGUGAUGAUUUCCAGGAUGCUGUGUAACAGGCAUCGCUCUCCACGUUUGUUACAUUUUAGGGAAUGUAUUGUUAAGUGGAUUUUCUUGAUGCUCAAGAAAUGGUUUGAGGUUGAAGUAUAAUGCUUGGUAGGUUUUUCCUUCUAUUUAGGAUAAUAAGAUAUGUCAUUAUUCCCAGAACAGCAGAAAGGAGUGUGGAUAUGCCACACCCCACCCAGGAGUAGUUUAGAACAAACUUUCUUACAUAGGAAAUUAGCAAAUUACACAAGGCAAUCAAAUCAGUCAGACGGGGUGUUAGAGCAGACAGUGUAGUCUAUUAAUGUAUGAAGUUAGAAAAAACAUUGAUGAGAGAAGGGGUUAACCAGAGGGUUGUAUGGAGGGAAACAGUCCUUGCCAGACCUAGAAGGCCUGAAUAGUGCCGUGGGUGCCUGACUUCCAAAUGUAAGUUUCUUCUAGUGAGUAUUCUGAUGUACCUAGCACGAACCAUGUUCUGUGUGAAAUCCUAACUGAUAAGUAAAGGAGCAUAGGACACAGACACAGUAGGAGGCCUGCUCUCAUUUUCUCUAAGUGUACAUUGAAUGAGGGAAUACAAACACACACACACACACACACACACACACACACACACACACACACACUCACACUCACACACACACACUCACACAGAGGCAGGCAGGAAAGUUAUAGCUUGCUGAAGAAGGGGAUGACUCAGUGGAGAGGAGAGGAGAUUCUGGGUGUCCUGAGAAGCUGCCUGGCUUUGGUUGCGUGAUUAUGUUGACUGAGAUCAUCUUAGGGCAGGUCCUGGGGUCCUAUGUAGUAAUGCCUGGUGCUGCCGUGGUCCUCUGGAGCCCCUUCCUCCUUGUUGCAGAUCUCCUGAUUCCCCCACCCGCUCACCCUCACCUUCAUUAGGAGAGAUGCAUUUAUGCCUAGCCAUAGCAGCAGGUGGCUGGGGACCCUUGAGAGUUAGGGAAAUGGCUGUUUACCAUCUACCAAAGAAGAGGUGACUCUUUAAUGGCCAUGAUACCGUAACUGUAUAAAGCAGAUAAGGUAUAAGUCACAUUUGGGUCCUGGAGUCGGCAGUCUAGUGAAGCACAAGUGGAUGUUGUUACCCACUUCCAUCUACCUGGAGAAGCCUGUUACCUGAACUUGGUUACUAAGCCACAUGCAACUCACUUUGCCCAUUGCUUACAGAGGCUGUGCACUGGAUGGGAGCUAGCCACAGCGGACAUCAACAGUGGGUAUUACAUAUCCUGGUACCUCUUGUUCUCAGGUCUUCUCCUUCCUCAGUCUGUGACAAACAGUGUCAGUGUCUAAGACCCAUUGACAUCUGGGCUUUCCACGUGCAUGGUCACUCAUAAAAACAAUACUCAAAUAUCUCCAGGAUUUUGCAAACAUCCCUUCUAUAAAUCUCUGUGGUUGGACAGCCAACCAAAAUUAAAUCGAUACCAGUGAUCCACUCCACAGCAGGCCUGGAGUGUACAAAACACCCAUGGAAGGAGUUACAGAGACAAAGUUUGGAGCUGAGACAAAAGGAUGGACCAUCUAGAGACUGCCAUAUCCAGGGAUCCAUCCCAUAAUCAGCCUCCAAACGAUGACACCAUUGCAUACACUAGCAAGAUUUUGCUGAAAGGACCCUGAUAUAGCUGUCUCUUGUGAGACUAUGCCGGGGCCUAGCAAACAUAGAAGUGGAUGCUCACAGUCAGCUAUUGGAUGGAUCACAGGGCCCCCAAUGGAGGAGCUAGAGAAAGUACCCAAGGAGCUAAAGGGAUCUGCAACCCUAUAGGUGGAACAACAAUAUGAACUAACCAGUACCCCCAGAGCUCGUGUCUCUAGCUGCAUAUGUAUCAGAAGAUGGCCUAGUCGGCCAUCACUGGAAAAAGAGGCCCACUGGUCAUGCAAACUUUAUAUGCCCCAGUACAGGGGAACGCCAGGGCCAAAAAGUGGGAGUGGGUGGGUAGGGGAGUGGGAGGGAGGGUAUGGGGGACUUUUGGUAUAGCAUUGGAAAUGUAAAUGAGGAAAAUACCUAAUUAAAAAAAAAAACAAGUGAAAACAGUUUAAAAGUAAAAAAAAAAAAGUUAUAAUAAUGAGAAAUCCACCGAGAGGAGCUGUCAUUGCCGAGAUUUGAUGAUUCUCAGAAGACAAAUUGUUUCGUGGUGCUCGUGUGUGCGUGCACGUAUGUGGGCAUGCUUUUGUGUGCGCACGUCUGUGAAGCAGACCGGGGGCUUCUCUGCAGACCGUGUGCCACUUUGAACAGUUAGCAGCUGGCUUAUGGUGGUUGUCAACUGCAUUUCACACAGCGCCCUGUUGGCAGUUGUUUGGCUAAGGGUAAAGACUGUAGUUUAGAAAUACAGCAAAAGGAGGUGGGGUCUAAAAUCUCUGUCUUGAGUUUCAGAAACCUCCUCUGUGAAAACUGCGUGGAAGGGUGUUUGUAUUCCACAGGAAAACCUGACGGGCAGAAAGCAAGUCUGGUUCUUUUUUAUCUUUAGCCAUCAGUUCCUUAAAAAUUAUUCACACGUUUCUUCAAAAUAGCCGUUUCUUUGUUUUCUUAAGAGCCCAAAUCUCUCUAGUCCUCAAAUCAAAUUCUCAACUAAAAUCAGGAGGUUUAAAAUUCAGUUAUUUUAAGUGAUACAUACUCUUAAAAUGUGUGUGUCUGCUAAGUCGCUUGUAUUGGAGAUGCAGAAAGUCACACUCCAUAAAAUACAGGAACACAUGUUAGAGGAGGGGAGGGGAGGGGAGGGGAGGGGAAGGGAAGGGAGGGGAAGGGAGGGGCAGACACUGAAGAGGAGGAGGGGAGAAGAUUUAAGUUUUAUUUUAACCCCCAAAUGGCAGAUGCAGAGUAAGGAGGCAUCUUGCUCUGUGCAGGAGGAGGAAGGCAGAGUUAGCAGGAGGUCCUUCUGGGACCUGCAGUUCCUGUGACUUCCUUAAGGCCACUGUGUGUGCUUUCAUGGGAGCCAGAACUGGACAUAGGAACUUACAAUGUCAUCGGGAGUUCAGGGUAAGCUGGGCUGAUGGAAUGACCCCAAAUAGUGAGUACUGUUGUGGGAAGGUGGGAAGACGGCUGCUUAUAAUGGCUUUGGGGGGAUAAUACUUCCUUUGCUUGCCUUGUCUCCCUUUUCUGUGAGGAAGCCUGGGUUUGAUGGUAGCACCUUCACCCCGAAGCCUAGGAAAUUGGUAGUGGGUGUGUGUGAGAGACAAGGGCUACACAUACUGAGCCCAGGUCACCCGGGCUUGUGCUAGCAUCCUCCCCGUGCACUUGGUGACCUGGGCGUCAGGAACAAGGCAGGGUGAUAAGGUUAACGUUCUCAUCAGUCAUCUGUCCAAGGCAUAUUUGCGCACACCACAUGGAUGAUAUUUUGACUGACUAGAGCCAGGUUCAAUGAAUCUUUUGCAUCUUAGCUUACAGUUGCAACUGGGCUUUGAUGGCAUCAGACAGGGAAGUACAUGGUUAGGUUGUAGCUCCUGCACACCAAGGUGGUGGCUUCCUAAGGAAGAGAGCUUUAAAGGUGGGGGUUAUUUUACCAUAGGCCAUCUAAGAAUGGCCUUUUCUCUGAGUAGUGUCAGACCCACUUCCCUGUGCUCUGAGGUCAAGGGCAUGCCCUGCAGUGAACCUGUGGGUCAGGGCAGGUGUUGGCAUGAUGGGAGACAGCAUCCAUUGGCAACCCUACUUCCCAGGGCUUCAGCUCAAGGCCCACAUGAUCAGGGAGUUUGUGGUUGACAAGUCGAUACUUCCUUUCUGAACAUGUGUCAGUGGAGAGCCCAGUACGAGACUAGUAGGUCAAGCCUGGAUACUGGACUAUUGGCUUUGUGAAUGCAUGGCCUCGUUAGUAGAGGUCUGGAGUGUUGUCCUUGGCGAAGUGUCUGUGGGGUAUCUGGAAACUUGCUGCUUGUGUUUGUAAAGCCGUGAGCAGCUCUGAAAUCUUAUUGACGGCGGUCUCACCCAUCUUCAUAGCUUAGCUAGUUGGGCUGAUUUGAGGCUAGAGACCUCAGCAGGGAGUGGCUGGGUUCUUAGAAUGUAGAGUUAGAUUCUCAGAGAGAAGGUCUUCUCUUAGGCCAGAUAGCACUGUUGCCUGUGCCUGCCAUGUUUGAGUCAGGUGCCUCUCUCCCUGCCCCUUCCCUUCAACCUAUUCAUCAUGUACUCAUGAUCUGUACAGAGCGACACCAGAUGCUGAGGCCAGAAAGAUGUCCAGUUAAAUGCAGUUUCUGCCCUCUUGGAACUGAGUCUGGUGAGAGGGACAAUGGAUCAAAGUCAUGAUGGGUCCUUGAGGCUUUGCUACCCAAACCAAAUCAGUGGACUUCAGAUACAAUGUCUCAAAGAUAUUUACCAGUCACCGAUUUUGAUAGUCUGCAUGUUCUGCCCUCUCUACUAUGACAACAGUAAUCUCUGCGUGGUUGCGUCGUUAUAAAAGAAGCCACAAGCGCCUGACUCUACAGUUACCGCUGGGAAGUGGAUCUGCCUGAGCAUUUCUGGAGAGGAAAGUAUUGUGCAGGGGAGAAGAACAUUUGCCAUUUUCUGCCUGUCAGACUACAGGGGUUAGCUGUUCCUGAUCCAGUCAAGAACUGAGGUUAGCACUCCAGGCCAAGGAAGGAAGCAAGCCCCUCUGGGUUUGCACAGUGCUCUGAGAUGUGGCCUUUACCUCUGUCAGGUUCUGUCCCUGUAUCAGAUCCUCUUGCUCGGAGGUGGGUGUUGUCUGUCUUGUGUGCUCCAGGGUCAGGCCACCAUGGGGGCUGGGUGGAGAGGAGGAGGCAAGCUUACUGCCUGCUAACCAUGGACAUCUAGAUGGGGAAGAAACAACAGCUUUAUUUUUAGGCUUUGCUAAUUCUCACUCUUCUAGUUCACUGCUACCUGGCAACAGCUUAUUGUCAUGGCAACACCAAUGUUAAUGAGUGAAGCUCUCCCGUGUCUGCCCUACCCAGUGCUCUGUGACAGAUAGAUACUCAGAGCAGAACUAUCUUUCUGGCCCUGCAGGGCUCAAACGCUACAGUCCCCACUCCUCCACAGGUCUCCCAGACCCUGUCUUAAAGAAAGGGAAUGGAGUCAUUGCCAACAAUGGGCCUGUGGCUUUGUUUACAUGUCUCCAUUUACUAAUGCGCCCACGGGACUCCCGACGCCCCGCCUCCCUGUAGCUCGUCCCCCUCACAUCUUAAGUGGCAGCCACAGGCUAAGGGAUAGAAACUGGCUUCUCUUUCCGGGGUCCUGAGGUUGGGUUGGUUUUCAAUGGCAGUUCCUCACAAGACCCCUAUGUCCUCUGAUGCUGCCUUUAAGGGACAGGUGCCCACAGUGUGGUGAUGACUUGUGCCAUGCCUGGGUUGAGAGUCAGUGACCCAUCCCACUGGCCUGUCCCCUUUCCUGCCACCAUCUGCUGUCCUUCACUUGCUGUCCUUGAUGGCUCUCACUGACCAGAAGGGAUGUAUAAGGUAUUCUGCACUCCUUUUUUUUUUCUUUUUCUUUUGGACUUCUGUGAUGUGGGUGACUUGACUCAGUUUUUUUUCACUACAAAUCCCGGAUAACAAUAGCCCUGCCUCCUGAACCUUAUUACAAGGCCUCCAUCAGGACAGUGUGUGCCUAGUGCUUGAGGCAGGAUCUGGAAUAAAAUGACAGUACCACAAGUAUUAGCUCUCUUAUGUCAGCUUACGACUUAAUUUGCAGUCUGAUUUUGUGAACUAAAUAUUGUUAUUAUUCUGAACUACAAAGGAGGAGACCCAGGCAAACUAGUUUGACACCUUCCAGGGUCACUGGGGAAGAUGGAAAGGCUAUGAUGCAGAACCUAGGUGUAUCCAUACACGUGUGUGAUGUAGGCGUGCGCACAGGCUCACAUACCAGGCCCCUGGAGCUUCCCUCUUUCUGGAGGUGGCCUCAGGGCCUCGGGAGCAUGUCCAAUUCCUUUGUACUCUUUGGAUUUAAGGUGCUAUUCGAACAUGGCGUGCUGCCACCAUGACUAAGUGUUGCUUCCAGAGAGGUGGCUCGUAACUGUCACGAUUGUCUUGAGGGUGGUACCGUAGCAAGGCCCUGCGAUGAGCAGUGGGGACGGAGCUUCUUCCUACAGCCACUGUUUCUUAGGCCCGAGUUCCCUGGCUCUGCUGCUGUGCUGGCCAAGGAAAGUAUGGUUGGGGUCUCCUGCCAGCUCAUCCAAAGUUCUCAGCCAGGCGCCACAGCUUUGCCGCUUACAUUUUCUGUAACGUUUGAAGGCAGCACGUUCACAUAGCAUAAAAUAAAAUAAAAAAACACACCAAAGAUAUUUGGUAAGACGCUACCCUUCUCUUCUCCCGCAGCCUCCCGGGAGAUGAGCUUCCUCACCGUAAGCAUAUUGAUUCUUUAUGUCUCCUGCCUUCCGUGCGUUCAGGUCCCCACAGUAUUUGCCAGUGCAUCUGUGGGCAUCCUCUGUGCUAGUACACAGUGGAUGAUUUGUUCGUUUUCAGCAGAUGAAGUAAGUAUUUCAUCACUCCUGCUAAAGGAGAUCAGUGGCAUUAAUCAUUGUGAGUAACCUUAAGCGAGUCCACUGUCUAGUUAGUAAUGGGGAGCAGUCAUUGGUACAAUGAUGUGAAUAUGGGAUUCUUGGAGCAGUCCUUGCUACAAUGAUGUGAAUAUGAGAUUCUUGGAGCAGUCCUUGCUACAAUGAUGUGAAUACGGGAUUCUUGGAGCAGUCCUUGCUACAAUGAUGUGAAUAUGGGAUUCUUGCCAUUGCUGAUGAUCUCUUAAUUUCAGGCUUAUUUUGAAACUUAAGAGUUUUUCUGAGAAUUUCAUGUAUGCAUAUUGUAUUUACAUAAUUUCUACCUCUCCCUUGCUUCAGUCCAACUCCUCCAUGUCUCCCUUUUCCCUGUCAAACUCAUGACCUCUUAUUCUUUAAUUAUUAUUGCAUAUAUGUGUCUAUGUAUACAUAUAUGUAUAAAUAACAGCUUGCUAAGUCCCAUUAGUGUUGUUCAUAUGUGUAAGUGUUUGGGGCUGACUGCUCAGGAUUGGAUAACGUAUGAAGUGGCUCAUCCCUAGAGAAGACUCGUUCUUCUUAUCUUAACAGUCAUUAAUUCCCUGCAGUUCUUCCUCUGCGGUGGGGCCUCAUGAAUCCCCCACCCUCUAUCUACACUGGCAUGUCUACAGCUGUGGUCACUGUUCAGGUCUUGCUUAGGCAACCAUAUUUUUCAGAUUUCAUGGGUCAUAUAUAGAAGACACUAUCUGAUAGCACAUGGCCUGGUCUUCUGGUUCUUACAGUCUUUCCACCCUCCCUGAACCUUAAGUGUAGAGAUUCUAUUGAUUACGUAUCAGUGGGGGUUGGGCACUCCAUGGUCAGUUUUUCUCUGAGUCUUGAUCAGCUGUGGUCUCUGUCAUGGUCUUCAUCUGCUGUACAAAGAGGCUUCUUUAAUGGGGGAAUGAGAGCUACAUUUAUUUGGGGUCAUAAAGUUAAUUUUAGGAAAGUCACAUUAUCAGUUUCUCCUCUAAGGUCUAUGGUCUCUCCAGCCUGAGGCACUUGACUAGGUUUAUAGCACCAAGUAUGAUUUCUCUCCUAUUAAGUAGAAUGUUAAGUCAGUUAGACAACUGCUGGUUCCCUUCAAGAUCUUGUGCCUGUGUUGUACUCCUGGACGCUUGCUGUGCUGCCCAUUGCUGUGGUUCAAGGGCUUUGUGGGUUGUUGAGUGUUUCUCUCCACUGGCAGCACGCAUAGCACCCAUGGAUAUUACGAGCUGGUUCUCUGGAGGGGCCUUCCAGAGGAGGCUUCCAGGUAGUUAGCUCCAGCUCUGUUCCCCCAACUCCUGUGUAUAUAGUGUGUAGUGUUUUUAGCAAUAGGCCCUUACCACCAAGUUCUGGGGGCAAUCAAGGGCCAUGGCAAUAGCCUGUAUUAUUUUUGAAGUCUCUGGCUCCCCUGACAACUCAAGGAGAGUUUUCUGUUGUCUGGCAGUGGUUUUUGCUAGGUAGUCUGUGGCUCUUGGGAAAAGAGUAUUACUACCCCAAAUCUGUAACUUCAUUCAAACUCGCUGUCUCUUUGUGUGUCUAUGUAUGUAUGUAUGUAUGUAUGUAUGUAUGUAUGUAUGUAUCUAUCUAUCUAUCUAUCUAUCUAUCUAUCUAUCUAUCUAUCUAUCUAUCUAUAGUCUGUAUGUAUAUGUAUACAUAUAUACUUCACUAUGCCCUAAAAGAAGCUUAGUGCUAUUUAUCCCCCUUCUUCCUUUUCCCUUGGUGUGCUCUCCCUCCCGCUUCCCAGUUAAACUCCUCUCCAUUUUCCCCACUUACUCCUUCAUAGCACUGGGGGAGCUCUGCAAUGCUAAGUCAUAGGACCUCUGUCUACCUGAAGAUGCUGUCUCUGUGUCCUUGAAGCAACACAGUGUGCUCCUUCUUAACUAUAAACACACUCAAAUUGUAUCACCAACCCAGCGUGAACUGGAGGGCCACUCCUUGGGUGAUACCAAGAUCAUUUAAAUCGAUAAGUAGCACCUAUCUUUCUGCAUGGUUUGGUGUUAAUCCUUGGACACAGAGUUCUGGGUAGUACAUGGUGUUUAUUGGAAUGUAGGCUCCACGUGAACUCUGUCCCUUUUGUUUCUGUACUGUUCUCUCUAUUUGUAACCUAGACCUUGCCUGAGAGAUACUGAAGAAGAAGAAAUGCAUGUAGCACCCAGAUGCCCCCUUUCCCCUCUAAUAUGGCAGAAGGGUUCUGUUUAGGGCUGAACCUGAGCCCCUUUGUGAGUGGGAAAUUGUGCAAAAGGUGAGAUUUAAAACUGGCAUAUAGGGCUAGCUAAGGAUUGGACCCAUGAUUGAGUUUUUGGCUAGACUUGGUGAGGCCCUGUGUUCUAACCCUAGUACCACGAAAAGAGAAACGAAACAACAAAAUGUACUGGAGGCAGUCCAGGCCUAGGCCUUGCAGCUAUGCAGUGGAUGCUCGGGUGUUUGCAGAAUGACGGGGGGAAGCAAAUCCUACUCUGUUGUGUAUUUGGGCUUCCCUGUUUAGAGACAUGCCAGAGAGAUAUUGGACUAAAGUUCUUUAGUCAGAACAUUGGUCUUCCUUUUCCUUAUUCUUUUGAGAACUUCCUCUUUCUCACCUUUGCUAUUAGUUUUUGUGUUGGCUGAACCAAAUAGAGUCUGGUCAGCAGGCAUGGCACCAAGCAUCCUGUUAUACACAUAGUUCACCAGCGUGAUUGAGAGGCUGCAGGGAGAGCUCAGAGUUAGGCUUGCUCAUGCCCAGGCAUUCACAGGUGGACCAUGUGGCCUGGGUACAGGCCAUGCCCCGUCUUCCUCAGCUUGGCUCCAUUAGCUAUAUCCACCUCUCUUUCCAUGGAGCCACCUUCCACACCACCUGAAUGUUCCAUCUCGUGCUCUUUCUAUUUCUCUAACUCCUACGAUAGCUCUUGUCCCCAGCAUUCCUGGAUCCUGUUCCAUGGUCAGUGUUAUAACCUCCUUGUGUGUGCAGUUUCUGCAUGUGACACUGAGGUGAGUUCUAAGAUGUCAGAUGGGGAACCAGUCCCAAAGGGAAAGCAAGUGAGUAGAAGCAGACACAGUCUGCCAUUGCCUUCCAGACUUCCAGGGAAGUAGCUGGGCAUCCUUCUGGUUGAGAGUGGCUGGGCAUGGUGCUGCCGGGCACAGUGGCAAGGGUCAAGGAUAUUCACGGGUCUUUCUGCACUUCAAGUGGGCUGGGACCCUGCACCUUAGCUGGUAUACAAGUCACUCUGUCACAUUGUCUGCUUGUUCUUGCUGCCCUACAGCCUUAAGGACUGAAUAGGCCUCCUUGCCUACCUGCUGGCUCACCAGCGUGUUCCUACCAUGAAAUAUGCAGCUCUUGUUGCAUGAUAAGAUAAGCAGCUUAUCUGAGCGGGCAGCUAUGAACAACUUUCUUACCUUAAAUGUAGUCAGUGAGACCACUGGGAUAACUGCGUGGAUAUCAAACCAAAGCAAAUGCACAGGCCAGAGAGUUCCUAAAUCUAUAGCCCUAGGAAGGUUUACAAUGGUGGUCUCCAUUCAUCACUAGAAUAGUGUUGGCAGCUUCUAAAAAAAUACCCAUUUGUAGAGGUUGGAGAGAUGGCUCAGCGAGUAAGGACACUUAUUGCUCUUGCAAAGGAUCCAACACCCACACUUCAAUUCACAGUCAGCUCUCAGGGAUCUGAUGCCCUGACCUCCAUGGGCUCCUGCAGGCACACACAUGUAAAAUACAUACAUACAUGAAUACAUACAUACAAAUACACACACGCACAUGUAUGCAGGCACACAUGUGUAAAAUAAUUAUAAUCUCCCUACAUAUAUAUGGGGAGAGAAAGA